rnacentral:rRNA from 1 species
UACGGGGGGGGCAAGCGUUGUUCGGAAUUACUGGGCGUAAAGGGCUCGUAGGCGGCCAACUAAGUCGGAUGUGAAAUCCCCAGGCUUAACCUGGGAACUGCAUCCGAUACUGGAUGGCUUGAAUCCGGGAGAGGGAUGCAGAAUUCCAGGUGUAGCGGUGAAAUGCGUAGAUAUCAGGAGGAACACCAAUGGCGAAGGCAGCUCGCUGGAACGGUACUGACGCUGAGGCGCGAAAGCGUGGGGAGCGAACAGG